rnacentral:lncRNA from 1 species
UAAGUUAUAUGUUAUGUGCUAUCUUUUGGUUUGGCCUAAUUUUGUGGUCUUAUGGACAUUAUGUUAAGGGGGCCAAUGUAUUAUCAUAUAAAAUGUAGGACUAAUGUGUAGAUACCCAAAAGGGUAACCUUAGUUAAUGAUGGGCUAACUAAGGUUACAUAUAUGUAACAAUGGUUACAUGCUUGUAACUCUUGAGUUAUGUAACUCUUGUAACUCUUGUGACUCUUGGG